UACAUGGGGUGCAAACGUUGCUCGGAAUUAUUGGGCGUAAAGAGCGCGUAGGCGGUCCGGUAAGUCAGCUGUGAAAGUCAGGGGCUCAACCCUUGAAAGCCGGUUGAUACUGUCGGGCUAGAGUCCGGAAGAGGCGAGUGGAAUUCCCGGUGUAGCGGUGAAAUGCGCAGAUAUCGGGAGGAACACCAAUGGCGAAGGCGACUUUCUGGCCUGUUCUUGACGCUGAGGCGCGAAAGCUAGGGGAGCAAACGGG
rnacentral:rRNA from 1 species